rnacentral:sRNA from 1 species
CGGGUUCUGCCCUUCUCGUUCAUGGUUGCAUUCCGGUGGCCUUAAGCAAUUCCGAGGGAGUUGGCUCUGUCCGGGCCCUGGUUCGGUUACCUGACGCCCACCUGUACAUACAGGUCCUCGGGAAUGAGAAAACCCCACGGUUGUGGUGGUUCCCGC